ACGGUCCCGGUUCACCCCCGAGCACCACGCGUGGGCACCUGCCCCGGGGGACCCGGCAUC
rnacentral:ncRNA from 1 species